rnacentral:rRNA from 1 species
UAAUACGAAGGGGGCUAGCGUUGCUCGGAAUCACUGGGCGUAAAGCGCACGUAGGCGGAUCCUUAAGUCGGGGGUGAAAUCCUGGAGCUCAACUCCAGAACUGCCUUCGAUACUGAGGAUCUCGAGUCCGGGAGAGGUGAGUGGAACUGCGAGUGUAGAGGUGAAAUUCGUAGAUAUUCGCAAGAAC